AGAGUUUGAUCCUGGCUCAGGACGAACGCUGGCGGCAGGCCUAACACAUGCAAGUCGCAAGAGAACACCCCUUCGGGGGUUAGUAAAGUGGCGAACGGGUGAGUAACGCGUAGACAAUCUGCCUCUAAGAAAGGGACAACUACGGGAAACUGUAGCUAAUACCUUAUAAUAUUGUGAGGCCGCAUGGCCUUUCAAUCAAAGCCUUUGGCACUUAGAGAUGAGUCUGCGUUGGAUUAGCUCGUUGGUGAGGUAACGGCUCACCAAGGCAGUAAUCCAUAGCUGGUCUGAGAGGAUGAUCAGCCACGCUGGGACUGAGACACGGCCCAGACUCCUACGGGAGGCAGCAGUGGGGAAUCUUAGGCAAUGGGGGAAACCCUGACCUAGCCAUGCCGCGUGGAGGAAGACACCCCUAUGGGGCGUAAACUCCUUUUCUACCGGAAGAAAACCCUGUUUUUCAGGGCUUGACGGUACGGUAGGAAUAAGCACCGGCUAACUCCGUGCCAGCAGCCGCGGUAAUACGGAGGGUGCAAGCGUUGUCCGGAAUCACUGGGUGUAAAGGGUGUGCAGGCGGGGCAGCAAGUCAGAGGUGAAAGCCCACGGCUUAACCGUGGAAGUGCCUUUGAAACUGCUGUUCUUGAGUCUCGGAGAAGUUGCUGGAAUUCGUGGUGUAGCGGUGAAAUGCGUAGAUAUCACGAG
rnacentral:rRNA from 1 species